rnacentral:tRNA from 1 species
AGCCUUGUAGUGAUUCACGCAGGAGUGCAAAUCCUGAAAAGUAGAAUAGCUUCUACCGGGGCUU